GAUUUUCAAAUACAUUUGACACCCCUAUCCCCCCACCUCCACUUUAGGUUUUGGCCCCUUUUAUAAAAAUUUCCUAGCUCCACCUUUGCUUGCUAAUUUUUUUGGUAUCCGAGUAAUGUGCUUACAAGAGUUGUCUGAGUACAUUGUGCCAUUGCAUUUUGACUCGACUUACCUUGGUAAAGACAGAAGUGGGAGAUGAUUAAUGUUAGGUGGGUGGGUACCCACCCUCCAGGCAUCAAUUAUUUGGGGAACCGAUACUCCAAAAAACUCAUUUUCUAUGGGAUUCAUUAUAGCAACUCGAACACUGGAAAGUUGGUCAAUUACCCAAUCACCCGAUUGACCAACUUAGUCCUACAAGAUACUGACAAACGAACAAAAGCUAUGUGUAAAACCCGAUGUAUGAAGGCCUUGAAUGAUCCAAUCACUCCAGACUUAAUAGAUAUCCAUUUUAUCAUCCAAGGUGUUAGAGUUGAGCUUAAUUGGUACUCCCAUGGUUUUGAAAACUGACAUGUGAACGAAAUCAAUCACUUUGACCACCAUUUUCUGGAUCAGCGGUUCUUUGAUCAAUUCAUUAUUAUUUUUUUUUCAAGUUGACUGGCACAGUUGUCUGGUCCGAUCCAAUUUUCAAAACAGUGAUUCUGAAUGACAUGCCUUUUUUAUCCCCGGAUCUUAGAACACUUUUUACUUUUUUUAGCAAAAGGCUUUUUCGUUGGUUAUUAACAUGGGAAAAUCUAUGAUAUGGAUCAAUCAACAUUUGGCUUUUUGUUUCGGUGAAUACGGGUUAUCCCAGGUAACCGGUUUCAAAAACAACUAUUUAAAUUAUAUUUCAAAAAAGAAAUUCAUUUCAAGAUAAGGAAGAUGUUGACGUACGUCUUCAUCAUUAAACGUCACCCUCCUCCCCCUUUUCUCUUUCUCUCAAAAUUCCAACCCCCAUUGAUUUUUCCCCAAAUUCCAACACCCAUGCCUUGCGUUAUGCCAACCUCAUUGCCAAGAAGCAACCGAGUCCUGCUACAGAGAGAGAGGCAACCUUUAUUGCCGAUGGAAAAUGGCUUCCCAAGCUGCAAUCGAGUCCAUUGUCGCCUUCAAGAGACAAGACAACCUUCGUUGGCGGAAGGAUUCUGUCAUCGAAGAAGAGUUCCACAAUGCACAUAUCCGUGGGCAACUGCUGAGGUGGUGAAAUAGCUGAAUUGUAGCACUGGAGAUUGAAUUGCAGUUAUGCCACUAGGAGAGGAGGAAUUUCAUUUGGUAGCCAUGUUAUCUAGGAAGAAUGAUGAACAAUAUUUAUGUUUUUGGGGUUUUAAUGUUGCACCAGGGCUUUACAAUUCUUGUCUUGUCAUGCUAAAUCUUAGAUGUCUUGGCAUGGUAUUUGAUCUUGAUGAAACACUUGUUAUAAACACAA